rnacentral:rRNA from 1 species
AUUGAACGCUGGCGGCAUGCUUUACACAUGCAAGUCGAACGGUAACAGGCCUUCGGGUGCUGACGAGUGGCGAACGGGUGAGUAAUGCAUCGGAACGUGCCCAAUCGUGGGGGAUAACGUAGCGAAAGUUACGCUAAUACCGCAUAAGCCCUGAGGGGGAAAGCAGGGGAUCGCAAGACCUUGCGCGAAUGGAGCGGCCGAUGUCAGAUUAGCUAGUUGGUGGGGUAAAGGCCUACCAAGGCGACGAUCUGUAGCGGGUCUGAGAGGAUGAUCCGCCACACUGGGACUGAGACACGGCCCAGACUCCUACGGGAGGCAGCAGUGGGGAAUUUUGGACAAU